rnacentral:rRNA from 1 species
AGACCCGAAACCCGGUGAUCUAGCCAUGGGCAGGUUGAAGGUUGGGUAACACUAACUGGAGGACCGAACCGACUAAUGUUGAAAAAUUAGCGGAUGACCUGUGGCUGGGGGUGAAAGGCCAAUCAAACCGGGAGAUAGCUGGUUCUCCCCGAAAGCUAUUUAGGUAGCGCCUCGUGAAUUCAUCUCCGGGGGUAGAGCACUGUUUCGGCUAGGGGGCCAUCCCGGCUUACCAACCCGAUGCAAACUGCGAAUACCGGAGAAUGUUAUCACGGGAGACACACGGCGGGUGCUAACGUCCGUCGUGAAGAGGGAAACAACCCAGACCGCCAGCUAAGGUCCCAAAGUCAUGGUUAAGUGGGAAACGAUGUGGGAAGGCCCAGACAGCCAGGAUGUUGGCUUAGAAGCAGCCAUCAUUUAAAGAAAGCGUAAUAGCUCACUGGUCGAGUCGGCCUGCGCGGAAGAUGUAACGGGGCUAAACCAUGCACCGAAGCUGCGGCAGCGACACUCAGGUGUU